rnacentral:rRNA from 1 species
UACGUAGGGUGCGAGCGUUAAUCGGAAUUACUGGGCUUAAAGCGUGCGCAGGCGGUUUUGUAAGCCCGAUGUGAAAUCCCCGGGCUUAACCUGGGAAUGGCAUUUGGGACUGCAAGGCUGGAGUGUGGCAGAGGAGACUGGAAUUCCUGGUGUAGCAGUGAAAUGCGUAGAUAUCAGGAGGAACACCAGUGGCGCAAGCGGCUGACUGGCCGAGACCUGACGCUGAGACGCGACGGCGUGGGGAGCGAACAGG